rnacentral:Y_RNA from 1 species
GGCUGGUCCGAGUGCAGUGGUGUUUACAACUAAUUGAUCACAACCAGUUACAGAUUCCUUUGUUCCUUCUCCACUCCCACUGCUUCACUUGACUAGCUUUAA